rnacentral:lncRNA from 1 species
GAAGUUAAACACCCACCCGAGAACUCAGCCGGUCAGGGUGGGCUUGAUUUCUCUGAUGCCCUUCUCAUUCCUUGUUGUCAUUCCCCCCCCCCCCAGGAAUAAGCACCUGACCCAGUGAGGGGACACGGGCCAGAGCUCUGGGGUGUUCCAUCAUCCCCAAGAGACAUAUGAGGAGUAGGAGGUUGCUUUGGUGCAGCUGCUUUGUGACAUCAUUGCAAAUUGAAACCUACUCAAGGAAGUGCAGCGGCCCAGAAAACUGAGAGAAGCAACCAGGGCAAAGACAGAGCUGGCUCAGUGGCCUAAAUAUGAAAUCAUCAAUGAUGCUGGACCAAAGGGAGUCCAGGUAUCACCGAGAUGCCAAACAGAAGGGUACCUCCACAUUCAUGGUGGAGCACAUCAUCGACUCUUCACCAGCUACCUGCAUGUUAAGGAAGAUAUUAUCUGGAGUGCUCUACAUAUGGCAAACACCAAUGUGUGCUGAUUAUCGAGAUCAGCUGGACAAGCAGUGAGAACCCUGCUCAUUAGGCCACAAGAGUAAUCCCGAGGGGGGAAUCCUUGCUGUCCUUAGCAGAGUCUUUCAGUUGGAGGCUGUGGCUGAACUGUACCAAGGGCGUUUUAUGGCAAGAAAGGAAACUCAAGUGUAAAUAUGGAAAAGCAAAUAUUGUAGAUUUGUUUAUCUGUUUAGACAGUAUCUCCAUGAAGCCGGUACUACGUAGCUUAACAUUCACUAUGGAGCCAAAGUAGCCCUUGAACUCCCAGAGAUCUUCCUACCUCUUUCUCCCAG